rnacentral:rRNA from 1 species
AUUGAACGCUGGCGGCAUGCCUAACACAUGCAAGUCGAACGGCAGGCGCGGGGAGCUUGCUCCCUGGCGGCGAGUGGCGGACGGGUGAGUAAUACUUAGGGAAUCUGCCCGAGUAGUGGGGGACAACCCGGGGAAACCCGGGCUAAUACCGCGUAAUCUCUUCGGAGGAAAGAGGGCCGUCUUCGUUGAAAGCUCUCGCUAUUGGAUGAGCCUAAGUCGGAUUAGCUUGUUGGUGGGGUAAAAGCCACCAAGGCGACGAUCCGUAGCUGGUCUGAGAGGACGAUCA